CCUGAGCUGCUGGGCUGCAUUGCAACAGAACAUUCACCUUUUUGUCUUCAUGUGUCAAUGAGCUGUGGGACAGUUGAGCAUACUGAAAAGCUAUCCCUGUACAAGGCCGGAUCCACACUGAUGCUUUGACC